rnacentral:rRNA from 1 species
ACGAGUGGCGGACGGGUGAGUAAUGUCUGGGAAACUGCCUGAUGGAGGGUKAUAACUACUGGAAACGGUAGCUAAUACCGCAUAACGUCGCAAGACCAAAGAGGGGGACCUUAGGGCCUCUUGCCAUCGGAUGUGCCCAGAUGGGAUUAGCUAGUAGGUGGGGUAAMGGCUCACCUAGGCGACGAUCCCUAGCUGGUCUGAGAGGAUGACCAGCCACACUGGAACUGAGACACGGUCCAGACUCCUACGGGAGGCAGCAGUGNGGAAUAUUGCACAAUGGGCGCAAGCCUGAUGCAGCCAUGCCGCGUGUAUGAAGAAGGCCUUCGGGUUGUAAAGUACUUUCAGCGGGGAGGGAAGGGAGUAAAGUUAAUACCUUUGCUCAUUGACGUUACCCGCAGAAGAAGCACCGGCUAACUCCGUGCCAGCAGCCGCGGUAAUACGGAGGGUGCAAGCGUUAAUCGGAAUUACUGGGCGUA